AAAGAAAUGCCAGAGUGCAUCGGCAAUUUAAAUAAACUUCAAAAUCUUGAGAUCACUCGUUGUCCAAGGUUGAGCAAAAGAUGCCGAAGGGGAACAGGAGAAGAUUGGCCCAAGAUCAAACAUAUCCCUAAAAUCAAGGUCGACAAUGAUUACAGUGGUGAAGAAACAUCUGAUGAGGUUUACUACUGUGAAGGUCCUGUCGGCUAAGAUCUUCUACAACAUUUUGUCACUUACGAAGAUCAGCUUAAGGCUCGGAGUGUGCUUUGUGUAAUUUCCCCUGCCUUGAUUUGUCAUCAAUAAAUUGAUCAUUUAAAUAA